CAGGGUGCGGAACAUUAUUUAGUUGGUGAGGUAAUGGCCCACCAAGACUAUGAUGUUUAGCCGGGUCGAGAGACUGAACGGCCACAUUGGGACUGAGAUACGGCCCAAACUCCUACGGGAGGCAGCAGUAGGGAAUAUUCCACAAUGAGCGAAAGCUUGAUGGAGCGACACAGCGUGCACGAUGAAGGUCUUCGGAUUGUAAAGUGCUGUUAUAAGGGAAGAACAUUUGCAAUAGGAAAUGAUUGCAGAUGGACGGUACCAAUAUAACAUCGGUUUUUCUGACUGCUCCAUCAGCUCUCUUGCUUGCUUAAUUGCAGACUGACCGGUACCACA
rnacentral:rRNA from 2 species